rnacentral:lncRNA from 1 species
AAUGCUACUAAUGUAUGAAAUAGUAAAUAAUACAUGAAUAGCAUAAAUGAGAUCCUCACUUUUCUUGGAUAGUCAAAUGACAACUUCUGAGGCCACAGGUUGCUGCUGUUGUCCUGUGAACAGCAGUCUCACUUGCUGAGCGCCUGCAGCAGUAUCUCAGUGCCGAGGAAUCAACUGGGGAGGUCUACAGACCAGACCAUUCAUGUAUAAGAACAUAAGAAAACCUCCCAGAGAUUAUAGACUUUGAGCACACUGCAAAUGGCCUAAAAUGAAACUGACAUAUCAAAUGUUUAUUGGGGGAGAGUGCUCAACACAAAAGGAGUGUGUAAAAAAAAUUAUUUGUGAAGAUCACCAAAGGAAUAAAUUUUUUCAUCCAAAAAUAAUCCCACAUCAGCCAUCUUACUGGAACCUGGCAAUUACAAACAGGCAAUAUUCACUCAAUAGUAUGUAUAUGGGGGAUCCCUGGGUGGUGCAGCGGUUUAGCGCCUGCCUUUGGUCGAGGGCGCAGUCCUGGAGACCCGGGAUCGAAUCCCAUGUCGGGCUCCCUGCAUGGAGCCUGCUUCUCCCUCUGCCUGUGUCUCUGCCUCUCUCUCUCUCUCUGUGUCUGACUAUCAUGAAUAAAUAAAUUAAAAAAAAUAGUAUGUAUAUGUAUUUU